CUCAUAAUGGGUCUUCAGGUCUAUAUGCGCCUGACAAGUUUCAUGGAGGUGGUGUUGGGCUCAGUGAGGGAGAGUGGAGCAACGACAACACCUAUAUACGACACUGCUUUGCUCAACAGAAGCAGCUUCCCAGCUGGUUUCCUCUUUGGCACUGCCUCAGCCUCUUAUCAGUAUGAAGGUGCAGCAAAUGAAGGGGGCAGAGGGCCAAGCAUAUGGGACACUUAUACUCUCACAAA